rnacentral:tRNA from 1 species
CACCGCCUGCGGGAAACCGGCAUCGGCCAGGGCUUUCAUCUUUUGCAGCCCCUGCUUCGCCGCAAGCUUUGGGUUCGACACCUGGAAGCGGUGU